rnacentral:lncRNA from 1 species
UGGAAAUGCAGUACUAAAAUACAGAUGAAAUGAUAUGAAAUCUGGAAUUUAUUUCUAAAUAAUCUUAUGUAGAAAUAAGAAAAAGUAAGUGUUGGAAACAGGGUUGAACAUUAGUAAUGAGUAUAUGGUGGUUCAUUUUAUUAUUCUUUUUUUUAUGUUUUACUUUUUGCAAGGUAUUCUCAAACUUGGGAACCAGCCUUGUAGCCUGACAAAAUUACCUGGGAUGGAGCUCAGGACGACUGGCCCUUGUCUUGCUCUGUGACUGUACAUGUCACUUCUCACUUGUCCAUUCAAAAAAAACUCUGGAGAACCUCCUGUCUGCUUGGGCUUCUAAAUCAUGGCAUCUGCCAAAUAGAAGCAUGGAAGGCUUUGCAAAAGAAUUGACAUUUGAUAUGGAUUCUGACAGAAGAAAAGGAGUUCCCUGGGUGGCAUCAGUUCAUCUUCUAUAAGGGACCUGGCAGCAUCUAGCAGUGUGAUCCAGAGCCUGGUGGAGGGCUGGGAAUGCUAGCAGCUCCUCUAAUUUUUACUGCUGUAAACCAAAGGGGUCCCUUUGGCAGUUUCAUAGUCAGGUUUCAGGAGAGACCAGUUUCCCAUACUGAGAAAAAAGACCCCAAGGAGGCUAUAUGCAAGUUCUCUGACUUCCAGGAGCAGCCAGCCCAGGAGCACAGUGGGGCUAUCAGCAAAGCAGGGAUGCUGAUCCAAGUUCAAAUCCCAGUCUUCCCAGGGCCACACUGGGAGCUUUGGAGAAAAUUGCAGAAGUUGGAGUUGGCAUCCGUCAACGUAGUGGGAUGAAACAAAGUGGCAGUCGUGGGCCACCUUGCAUAUGGCCUGCACACAGUAGGCCCUCAGCUAGUGAAGGCUUCUGCAGGUGGGGCCCAUGGAGCCCCAGACUUUGGGCUGAGGGAGGCCCAGGCCUAGCCCAUUAGAGGCUGCUGAGCUCCACAUGGAAACCCCAGCUGGCUGUGGGGCCCAAGGUGUUGUGUGGUGAAGUGGCUUCUGGUCAGUGCCAGCGCACGUCCCUACCAGAUUCAGGACCAGUGGCCCCCCAGUGCCAUGAGAAUACUGUGAAAGCUUCCCAGAGGAGGUGCUAUUUGAUCCCCUUUAAAGGAAUACAUCAAAGCCCUACAGGUUGGCCCAAAGCUGCUGUGUCCCCGUAGACAGUGGAUAAGUAACUUGAAAUUCCCUGUGUCCCAAGCACCUGCUGUGUGCUCAAUCAGGAAAGCAAGUGAUAAGCCGAAAAGACAAGCUGCUCAAAUGGGCAAAGAAUAUGAGUAGGUAUGAAUAGGUAUAUGAAUAUGAAUAGGUUCACCAAAGAGGCAUGGAAAGUGGCUCGGAAAUUGAUUUUUAAAAAGAAUGCUCAGUCCUGCCAAACCUGAAGGGAGAUGCAACUUAAAUCAAGUAGUGUGUGUAUAUAUAUAUAUAUAUAUACACACACACACUGGAAUAGUACUCAGCCAGAAAAAGAGAAUGAAAUAGGGUUUCCCUGGUGGCUCAGUGGUAAAGAAUCUGCCAAUGCAGGAGACAUGGGUUUGAUCCCUAAUCUGGGAAGAUCCCACAUGCCAAGAAGCAACCAAGCCGCAUGAGCCAUAGCUAUUGAAUCUAUGCUCUAGAGCCUGGGAGCCACAAGUACUGAACCCAGAGCCACAACUACUGAACCUGUGUGCCUCAACUACUAAAGCCCAUGCACCCCAGAGCCCACAUUCAGCAACAGGAGAAGCCACUGCAAUGAGAAGCCUGCACACCACCACUACAGAAAAGCCCUCAUAGCAGCGAAGACCCGGCACAGCCAGAAGUGAAUAAAUAGAAUUAUUUUUUAAAUAAAAUGAAGUAA